rnacentral:rRNA from 1 species
AGAGUUUGAUCCUGGCUCAGGACGAACGCUGGCGGCGUGCUUAACACAUGCAAGUCGAACGAGGUCCAUCCGGUAGCAAUACUGGUGAAGACCUAGUGGCGAACGGGUGAGUAACACGUGAGCAACCUGCCCCGAAGACUGGGAUAACAGCGGGAAACCGCUGCUAAUACCGGAUACCCCCACCGGGUCGCAUGGCCUGGUGAGGAAAUGGAUUCCGCUUCGGGAGAGGCUCGCGGCCUAUCAGCUUGUUGGUGGGGUAACGGCCCACCAAGGCGACGACGGGUAGCUGGUCUGAGAGGACGAUCAGCCGCACUGGGACUGAGACACGGCCCAGACUCCUACGGGAGGCAGCAGUGGGGAAUAUUGCGCAAUGGGCGAAAGCCUGACGCAGCAACGCCGCGUGAGGGAUGAAGGCCUUCGGGUUGUAAACCUCUUUCAAGCAGGGACGAUAAUGACGGUACCUGCAGAAGAAGCUCCGGCCAACUACGUGCCAGCAGCCGCGGUAAUACGUAGGGAGCGAGCGUUGUCCGGAUUCAUUGGGCGUAAAGAGCUCGUAGGCGGCUUGGUAAGUCGGAUGUGAAACCUCCAGGCUCAACCUGGAGUCGCCAUCCGAUACUGCCAUGGCUAGAGUCCGGUAGGGGCCCACGGAAUUCCUGGUGUAGCGGUGAAAUGCGCAGAUAUCAGGAGGAACACCGAUGGCGAAGGCAGUGGGCUGGGCCGGCACUGACGCUGAGGAGCGAAAGCGUGGGGAGCGAACAGGAUUAGAUACCCUGGUAGUCCACGCCGUAAACGUUGGGCACUAGGUGUGGGGUCUUAUCAACGGACUCCGUGCCGUAGCUAACGCAUUAAGUGCCCCGCCUGGGGAGUACGGCCGCAAGGCUAAAACUCAAAGGAAUUGACGG